AGCAGCCACCCUUUAAAGAGUGCGUAAUAGCUCACUAGUCGAGUGACACUGCGCCGAAGAUGUACCGGGGCUAAACACAAUACCGAAGCUGCGGACUUGCAUGUAAGUGCAAGUGGUAGGGGAGCGUUCUAAGUGCUGAGAAGGUAGACCGUAAGGACUGCUGGAGCGCUUAGAAGUGAGAAUGCCGGUGUGAGUAACGAAAAUUGGGUGAGAAUCCCAUUCACCGUUUGACUAAGGGUUCCUGGGUAAAGUUCGUCUUCCCAGGGUAAGUCAGGACCUAAGAUGAGGCUGAAAAGCGUAGUCGAUGGACAACAGGUUGAUAUUCCUGUACCACCUAUAUGACUGAAGGAGUGACGGAGAAAGCUAGUGAGAGCCAGUUAAUGGAUUCUGGUUUAAGUGCGUAGGCUAGUAUGUUGGCAAAUCCGCAAUACUAUAACAGCUGAAACAUGAUGGGGAAGAGAGUCUUCGGACAAUCGAACUUUCAUGAUGCUAUGCUUCCAAGAAAAGCUUCUAGGGUUAAUCGUAUAGGUGCCUGUACCGACAACCGACACAGGUGGUCAAGGAGAGUAUCCUAAGGUGAGCGAGAGAACUAUGGUUAAGGAACUCGGCAAAAUGACCCCGUAUCUCUGCUAACACGUAAGUGGAUGUAUAGGGGCUGACGCCUGCCCAGUGCUGGAAGGUUAAAGAGAUUAGUUAGUAUGACGUAAGUCGAUAAUACGAAGCUUUGAACUGAAGCCCCAGUGAACGGCGGCCGUAACUAUAACGGUCCUAAGGUAGCGAAAUUCCUUGUCAGGUAAGUUCUGACCCGCACGAAAGGCGUAAUGAUCUGGGUACUGUCUCAACCAUAGACUCGGUGAAAUCUUAAUACCUGUGAAAAUGCAGGUUACCCGCGACUGGACGGAGAGACCCCGUGGAGCUUUACUGUAGCUUGAUAUUGGAAUUCGGUAAACUAUGUAGAGCAUAGGUGGGAGACUAUGAGAUUAAGGCGCCAGCCUUAAAGGAGUCACCAUUGGAAUACCACCCUUAGUUUAUUGGAUUUCUAACCUAGGACCAUAAUCUGGUUCAGGGACAGUGUCUGGUGGGCAGUUUGACUGGGGCGGUCGCCUCCUAAAGAGUAACGGAGGCGUUCAAAGGUUCCCUCAGAAUGGUUGGAAAUCAUUCAAAGAGCAUAAAGGUAUAAAGGGAGCUUGACUGCAAGACCUACAAGUCAAGCAGGUGCGAAAGCAGGACUUAGUGAUCAGGCGAUUCAGAAUGGAAUGGUCGUCGCUUAACGGAUAAAAGUUACCCCGGGGAUAACAGGCUGAUACCACCCAAUAGUUCACAUAGACGGUGGUGUUUGGCACCUCGAUGUCGGCUCGUCAUAUCCUGGAGGUGGAGUCGCUUCCAAGGGUUGGGCUGUUCGCCCAUUAAAAUGGCACGCGAGCUGGGUUCAGAACGUCGUGAGACAGUUCGGUCCCUAUCCGUCGUGGGCGCAGGAAAAUUGAGGAGAGCUAUCCUUAGUACGAGAGGACCGGGAUGGACCUACCUCUGGUGUAUCUGUUGUCACGCCAGUGGCAGUGCAGAGUAGCUAUGUAGGGAAGGGAUAAACGCUGAAAGCAUCUAAGCGUGAAGCCCUCUCCAAGAUGAGUUUUCCCAUUGUUUAACAAGUAAAAUCCCAGA
rnacentral:rRNA from 1 species